rnacentral:rRNA from 1 species
AUUGAACGCUGGCGGCAGGCCUAACACAUGCAAGUCGAGCGGAGCGGCGGACGGGUGAGUGAUGCCUAGGCAUCUGCCUGGUAGUGGGGGAUAACGUCCGGCAACGGGCGCUAAUACCGCAUACUAUCAGAUUAGCCUAAGUCGGAUUAGCUAGUUGGUGGGGUAAAGGCCUACCAAGGCGACGAUACGUAACUGCUCUGAGAGGAUGAUCAGUCAAAUGGGAAUUGAGAAACGUCCCAGACUCCUACGGGAGGAAGCAGUGGGGAAUAUUGGAAAAGGGGCGAAAGCCUGAUGCAGCCAGGCCGGGUGUGGGAAGAAGGUCUUCGGAUUGUAAAGCACUUUAAGUUGGGAGGCGUUACCAACAGAAUAAGCACCGGCUAACUACGUGCCAGCAGCCGCGGUAAUUC